rnacentral:rRNA from 1 species
GACGAACGCUGGCGGCGUGCUUAACACAUGCAAGUCGAACGGAAAGGCCCUGCUUUUGCGGGGUGCUCGAGUGGCGAACGGGUGAGUAACACGUGAGUAACCUGCCCUUGACUUUGGGAUAACUUUAGGAAACUGGGGCUAAUACCGGAUAGGAGCUCCUGCUGCAUGGUGGGGGUUGGAAAGUUUCGGCGGUUGGGGAUGGACUCGCGGCUUAUCAGCUUGUUGGUGAGGUAGUGGCUUACCAAGGCUUUGACGGGUAGCCGGCCUGAGAGGGUGACCGGCCACAAUGGGACUGAGAUACGGCCCAGACUCCUACGGGAGGCAGCAGUGGGGAAUAUUGCACAAUGGGCGGAAGCCUGAUGCAGCAGCGCCGCGUGCGGGAUGACGGCCUUCGGGUUGUAAACCGCUUUCGCCUGUGACGAAGCGUGAGUGACGGUAAUGGGUAAAGAAGCACCGGCUAACUACGUG